AGGGCUGUAGCUUAGUGGUAGAGCGCUUGCCUAGCAUGCAUGAAGCACUGGUUCAAUCCUCAGCACUG
rnacentral:tRNA from 1 species